AAACUCAAAGGAAUUGACGGGGCCCCGCACAAGCGGCGGAGCAUGCGGAUUAAUUGGAUGCAACGCGUAGAACCUUACCUGGGUUUGACAUGGAUCGGGAGUGCUCAGAGAUGGGUGUGCCUCUUUUGGGGUCGGUUCACAGGUGGUGCAUGGCUGUCGUCAGCUCGUGUCGUGAGAUGAUGGGUUAAGUCCCGCAACGAGCGCAACCCUUGUUC
rnacentral:rRNA from 1 species